GCCCCACACUUUGUGACUUUAGACAAGUCACUUAACUCGUCACAAGUUCCAAGACCAUCCCCCCUCUGCUGCCAAAUCUCUCUUGUGUCCCAGUGGGCCCAGGAGCUGUUGGAGUUUUGUGAAUCAAGGCCUUUUCCCACCUGGAUGUCACCCAGGAGGUCACCAAACCUGCCUGCAGAGGGCAUGAUGCUAUACAUAGGAAA